rnacentral:misc_RNA from 1 species
GAUGAAGAACGUAGCAAAAUGCGAUAAGUAAUGUGAAUUGCAGAAUUCAGUGAAUCAUCGAAUCUUUGAACGCACAUUGCGCCCGCCAGUAUUCUGGCGGGCAUGCCUGUUCGAGCGUCAUUUCAACCCUCAAGCACAGCUUGGUGUUGGGACUCGCGUUAAUUCGCGUUCCCCAAAUUGAUUGGCGGUCACGUCGAGCUUCCAUAGCGUAGUAGUAAAACCCUCGUUACUGGUAAUCGUCGCGGCCACGCCGUUAAACCCCAACUUCUGAAUGUUGACCUCGGAUCAGGUUGGAAUACCCGCUGAACUUAAGCAUAUCAAUAAGCGGAGGA